rnacentral:rRNA from 1 species
CAGCAGUGGGGAAUAUUGCACAAUGGGGGAAACCCUGAUGCAGCAACGCCGCGUGAGUGAUGACGGUCUUCGGAUUGUAAAGCUCUGUCUUUAGGGACGAUAAUGACGGUACCUAAGGAGGAAGCCACGGCUAACUACGUGCCAGCAGCCGCGGUAAUACGUAGGUGGCAAGCGUUGUCCGGAUUUACUGGGCGUAAAGGGAGCGUAGGUGGAUAUUUAAGUGGGAUGUGAAAUAUCCGGGCUUAACCUGGGUGCUGCAUUCCAAACUGGAUAUCUAGAGUGCAGGAGAGGAAAGGAGAAUUCCUAGUGUAGCGGUGAAAUGCGUAGAGAUUAGGAAGAAUACCAGUGGCGAAGGCGCCUUUCUGGACUGUAACUGACACUGAGGCUCGAAAGCGUGGGGAGCAAACAGGAUUAGA